GCGGGUGUGGUGGAAUUGGUAGACACGCAGGAUUUAGGUUCCUGUGCCUUCGGGCGUGUGGGUUCAAGUCCCACCUUCCGCA
rnacentral:tRNA from 1 species